GUUCCAGGACUGCUCUUGGCUGAAGCCUUCAGCUGAACACAGAACGCUGCAUGAAGGUUUCACAUGACAGCUUGUUUCUCCCAGAGUGAAAGAUCCAACAGAGAGUGAAAGAGCCAUCAAGAUGGAGACUGCCAGGGUCUGAUAUACAUCAUCCUGAGAUAAUAAUCAGGUGAGAACCCUGGGAUAUGGUGCUAACACAUUGCUAAGACAGCUCUUGGAUCCUCGAAACAGCAGUGGCCCCCACUGAGAGAACAAGAAAUGUGAGAAAGGAAACAAAAUGAUCCAGGAGGAGUAGUUACACAAGUCAAGAUAAGCCUAGAGAAUUCUGUACCUACCAGAAAUUUGGAAUGAAACCCAGAAGUAUCAGUUAAUUUCUUUGGUGCUGACCUGAAAGGACAUUUAUAAUUGCCUGCAGCUGUCACAUGGAAAAACAGAGAAAGCUGAUCCAUAGUGAGAAGAAACUAAAGGUGAGAUGCAAAGAAAAACAGAUGAUUCGGGAGAGAGAAAAUGAGGUUAUAAUGGCUUUACAAUUCUCAGUAAUCCCCUGUGUGAGAUUCAUCUAUUGCUCCUGACACUGAGUUCUGAUAAGAAACUGUUUUAAUAAAUUCUCCCUUUCUACUUAAACUAGUAUAACAGAUAAAUUGACCUAGCCUACCUUGUGGGAUGUAAUCAAAUUGCAACUUUACGUGUCUCCAAUUGUUCCUUUACAAUUUAUUCAGUGAAAGAAAAUUUUUUUCUUGCCCUUGAAUGAAAUUCUUUCUCUAGUAAACCCCAUAAAUUUUUGUUCUCAUUUAAAAUACAGCAUCUUGCAGUU